AUUCUGUCCCUUUUUGGGACCAGAUCCCAGCCGUGUAUGCCAAUGGACCAGGACUUCCAGGAACUGAUGCAAAGGCAAAGUCUUUGCAUUUUAAGCUGGUUUAUUGGUGCACAGGGGGACACAUUCUCACACACAUACAUUCACUCACGCAAACACUCAAGGCUAACAGAAGAAAGGGAGGAAAAGUGGACAGAGAACAUUAGGCCUUCUAAUGCUAGAUAAUCGCCUGAGAUGGUUUCCUCGGAAUCAAGGUUGUAAUCACACACAAAUUGUGAGAAUCUGGGGAGUGCCUGCCUUGUGGGAAGUCACUUUGUGGCAAUUAAAGGACUCCGGGAUGGCAUAUAUAAACGGCCUGCAUUGGAAGCAUUCGUUGUCCCAGCUGCAGACGGCUACGAACAGCUUUGGGAUAUCUCCAGGCAAGCCACUGACCUCUGACAACCUCAACAGAAGACAUCUAGGGGACAAUAGUUCAGCUGAUACUGAGCUCAACAGGGAGAACUCAACAUGGCGAACGUGACAGUCGUAGAUCUGAUGGAGUACCCUCUGGCAGAAAUGGAGAUAAGAGAAGUGGAGUAUCGAAAUGUGUCUGUCAUCAAUGAUCCUGUCCUUGGUCAAUUGAAAGUACUUAAGGGUGUGGACGUCCUGUUCAAGAAGUAUAUCCGUAGUCUCCGCAGGCGGUUGUCAUGAUCCUUCAAAAUAUGUAGGCGGAUGGGUAGCUGGCACUUGUAAGCCCCAAACAUGGAGACCUGAUACGAAAAUCAACUCACAUCUCCCAGACGUACAACACUCUCUUUAGCUGAUGGAGCUAUACGACAAUAAAGAUUUGAGGA